rnacentral:lncRNA from 1 species
UCACCUGCAAAUCUCAAACAAAAACCCCACAUCCAGUCGAUUUUAAUUUUUUCUUUAUUUUUCAGAUCUGAUUAUCCCUUCAUUUUUUUUUUCGGUGCGUUUUCCUCUGCUGGUGACAGAUCCAGCUUCUGUGGCCGCUGUUGGGCAGUUCUGGCGGCGGGGAUGCUGCUGCGGUGGAGAUGUUUCCUCGGUGGUGAGCAGAUCGGGUCCGUGGGGAGGAG